GUUGAACGCUGGCGGCAUGCCUUACACAUGCAAGUCGAACGGCAGCGGGGGAGAAGCUUGCUUUUCCUGCCGGCGAGUGGCGAACGGGGGAGUAAUACAUCGGAACGUGCCCUUUAGUGGGGGAUGACUAGUCGAAAGAUUAGCUAGUACCGCAUACGACCUGAGGGUGAAAGUGGGGGACCGCGAGGCCUCAUGCUAUAGGGGCGGGCGAUGUCUGAUGAGCUAGUUGGUGGGGUAAAGGCCUACCAAGGCGACGAUCAGUAGCUGGUCUGAGAGGACGAUCAGCCACACUGGGACUGAGACACGGCCCAGACGCCUACGGGAGGCAGCAGUGGGGAAUUUUGGACAAUGGGCGAAAGCCUGAUCCAGCAAUGCCGCGUGUGUGAAGAAGGCCUUCGGGUUGUAAAGCACUUUUGUCCGGAAAGAAAUGGCUCUGGUUAAUACCUGGGGUCGAUGACGGUACCGGAAGAAUAAGGACCGGCUAACUACGUGCCAGCCGCCGCAGUAA
rnacentral:rRNA from 1 species